GGAACAUGAUGUCGCAGAGGGUGAGAAUCCCGUACGCGGUCGACGGCCUUGGCCCGUGSUGAAGCCUCUCUCGACGAGUCGAGUUGUUUGGGAAUGCAGCUCUAAGCGGGUGGUAAAUUUCAUCUAAAGCUAAAUAUGGGCCAGAGACCGAUAGCGCACAAGUAGAGUGAUCGAAAGAUGAAAAGCACUUUGAAAAGAGGGUCAAACAGUACGUGAAAUUGUUGAAAGGGAAGCGCUCGCAACCAGACUUGCGCCCGGUCGAUCAUCCCGGGCUCGCUCGGGUGCACUGGAUCGGGCUCAGGCCAGCAUCAGUUCGGGUGGUCGGAGAAAGGCGCGAGGAAUGUGGCUCCCCUCGGGGAGUGUUAGAGCCUCGGGCGACAUGCGACCCACCGGGACUGAGGCACGCGCCUUCGCGGGCGAGGAUGCUGGCUGAAUGGUUGUGAGCGACCCGUCUUGAAACACGGACCAAGGAGUCUUMUAUCUAUGCGAGUAUGUGGGUGGUAMACCCAGGUGCAGCAAUGWGAGUGAAGGAGGUGASAUCCCCCGAGGGCGCAUCAUCGACCGAUCCGGAUGUCCUCGGAUGGAUUUGAGUAGGAGCAUAGCUGUUGGGACCCGAAAGAGAGUGAACUUUGCGUGGAUAGGRYGAAGUCAGAGGAAACUCUGRUGGAGGCUCGCAGCGGUUCUGACGUG
rnacentral:rRNA from 1 species